rnacentral:rRNA from 1 species
GAUGAACGCUGGCGGCGUGCUUAACACAUGCAAGUCGAACGGAGAGGCUCCAACUUGCUGGCGUGGACCAGUGGCGAGCGCGUGAGUAACACGUGAGCAACCUGCCCCUGACUGUGGGAUAAGCGCUGGAAACACCGUCGCAUACUGGAGACGAGAUAUGUCAGCAUGGGCACUUACUGGAAAGGUUUUCUGUUGUGGCUGGGCUCGCUGCUUACCCGCUUCUUUGUGUAGUUGUUGCUGACCAAGCCUACGACGGGUAGCCGGCCUGAGAGGUCGACCGGCCACACGAGGACUGAGAGACGGAGCAGACGCGUACGGGAGGCAGCGGUGGAGAAUCUGGCACAGUGGGCGAGAGCCUGAUGCAGCGACGCCGCGUGAGGGAUGACGGCCUUCGGGUGAUAAACAUCUGUCAGCAGGGAAGAAGCGAAAGUGACGGUACCUGCAGAAGAAGCACCGGCUAACUACGUG